rnacentral:rRNA from 1 species
UACGGAGGGAGCUAGCGUUAAUCGGAUUUACUGGGCGUAAAGCGUGUGUAGGCGGUUUGUUAAGUCGGGUGUGAAAUCCCUGGGCUCAACCUGGGAAUUGCAUUCGAUACUGGCAAGCUAGAGUACGGUAGAGGGCGGCGGAAUUCCGGGUGUAGCGGUGAAAUGCGUAGAUAUCCGGAGGAACACCGAUGGCGAAGGCAACCGCCUGGGCCUGUACUGACGCUGAGACACGAAAGCGUGGGGAGCAAACAGG